rnacentral:rRNA from 1 species
GACGAACGCUGGCGGAGUGCCUAAUACAUGCAAGUCGAAAGCAGUGGGGACGGGUGAGUAACACGUGGGUAACCUACCAUCAGAGGGGAUAACACUUGGAAACAGGUGCUAAACCGAUACUGAUGGAUGGACACGCGGUGCAGUAACUCGUUGGUGAGGUAACGGGUAACCAAGGCCACGAUGCGUAGCCGACCUUAGAGUGUGUGCGGCCCCACGUGGACUGAGACUCGUGCCAGACUCCUACGGGAAGCAGCAGUAGGAAAUUGUCGUCAAUGGACGAAAGUCUGACAGAGCAACACCGCGUGAGUGAAGAAGGUUUUCGGAUCGUAAAACUCUGUUGUUAGAGAAACUGUAUCUAACCAAGAAGCCACGGCAAACUACGUGCCAGCCGCCGCGGUAAUUC